rnacentral:misc_RNA from 1 species
GGGAAAUCGCUUCCUUCACCAAAUAGAAUUCAAGAUUUUGCCAGAAUAAUCAACUCCAACAGAAUCCACCACCCGACCCAAGUCAAACCCGCAACCAGAAUUAGGUCAGUUCCAUCACCUGUCGCCGCAAAGUCUAGGGCGGUGGUCGACGGCGAUUCAUCGGAGCGGCGGCUGAAGCUGAAGAAGAAUAUGGAAGAAGCAAGCUCUAACUCCAAUUCCAAUUCCAAUACUUCUUCGUCAAACCAGCGGCGGCUACCCCUUGCUGACGUGGUGGCUGACUGUGUCAAGCGGUGGUUCCACGAUACUCUCAAGGAGGCGAAAGCUGGUGACGCUAACAUGCAAGUCCUUGUUGGUCAGAUGUAUUUUAGUGGCUAUGGUAUAGCCAGAGAUGCACAAAAGGGAAGAGCUUGGAUUACCCGAGCUUCAAAGAGUCGGUCAUCGGCAUGGAAAGUGAGUGAUAAACGCCCAGGCUAUAAUGCCAGUGAUUCUGAUUCUGAUGAUACUGUGGAGGACGCAAAGCAAAAUUGAAGCUCUUUUCAUGGGUUAAACAAGCUGUGGCAUUUGUAUUUUUGUGCUAUCCAUAUGCGAGCCGUCAGUACCUUGCAGUUUGGUAACAGACAUUCAACUGGACCUGCUGUUCUGAUCUCCAUGAUAUCUUUUUUUUUUU